GUGUGUUCCAGGUAAAUCCGGUUCACUUUAACACUGAGGCGUGACGACGAGGCACUACGGUGCUGAAGCAACAAAUGCCCUGCUUCCAGGAAAAGCCUCUAAGCAUCAGGUAACAUCAAAUCGUACCCCAAACCGACACAGGUGGUCAGGUAGAGAAUACCAAGGCGCUUGAGAGAACUCGGGUGAAGGAACUAGGCAAAAUGGUGCCGUAACUUCGGGAGAAGGCACGCUGACACGUAGGUGAAGUGAUUUACUCAUGGAGCUGAAGUCAGUCGAAGAUACCAGCUGGCUGCAACUGUUUAUUAAAAACACAGCACUGUGCAAACACGAAAGUGGACGUAUACGGUGUGACGCCUGCCCGGUGCCGGAAGGUUAAUUGAUGGGGUCAGCGCAAGCGAAGCUCCUGAUCGAAGCCCCGGUAAACGGCGGCCGUAACUAUAACGGUCCUAAGGUAGCGAAAUUCCUUGUCGGGUAAGUUCCGACCUGCACGAAUGGCGUAAUGAUGGCCAGGCUGUCUCCACCCGAGACUCAGUGAAAUUGAACUCGCUGUGAAGAUGCAGUGUACCCGCGGCAAGACGGAAAGACCCCGUGAACCUUUACUAUAGCUUGACACUGAACAUUGAGCCUUGAUGUGUAGGAUAGGUGGGAGGCUUUGAAGUGUGGACGCCAGUCUGCAUGGAGCCGACCUUGAAAUACCACCCUUUAAUGUUUGAUGUUCUAACGUGGACCCGUUACCCGGGUUGCGGACAGUGUCUGGUGGGUAGUUUGACUGGGGCGGUCUCCUCCUAAAGAGUAACGGAGGAGCACGAAGGUUGGCUAAUCCUGGUCGGACAUCAGGAGGUUAGUGCAAUGGCAUAAGCCAGCUUGACUGCGAGCGUGACGGCGCGAGCAGGUGCGAAAGCAGGUCAUAGUGAUCCGGUGGUUCUGAAUGGAAGGGCCAUCGCUCAACGGAUAAAAGGUACUCCGGGGAUAACAGGCUGAUACCGCCCAAGAGUUCAUAUCGACGGCGGUGUUUGGCACCUCGAUGUCGGCUCAUCACAUCCUGGGGCUGAAGUAGGUCCCAAGGGUAUGGCUGUUCGCCAUUUAAAGUGGUACGCGAGCUGGGUUUAGAACGUCGUGAGACAGUUCGGUCCCUAUCUGCCGUGGGCGCUGGAGAACUGAGGGGGGCUGCUCCUAGUACGAGAGGACCGGAGUGGACGCAUCACUGGUGUUCGGGUUGUCAUGCCAAUGGCACUGCCCGGUAGCUAAAUGCGGAAGAGAUAAGUGCUGAAAGCAUCUAAGCACGAAACUUGCCCCGAGAUGAGUUCUCCCUGAGACUUAGAGUCUCCUGAAGGAACGUUGAAGACGACGACGUUGAUAGGCCGGGUGUGUAAGCGCAGCGAUGCGUUGAGCUAACCGGUACUAAUGAACCGUGAGGCUUAACCUU
rnacentral:rRNA from 1 species